rnacentral:rRNA from 1 species
CAAUAGCGUAUAUUUAAGUUGUUGCAGUUAAAAAGCUCGUAGUUGGAUUUCUGCUGAUCGCUGUCGGUCUGCCGUCAGGUGUGUACUGGCAGUGUUUGGCAUCUAUUCGAGAUUGGGUGUCCACUUGAUUGUGUGCACUCGAUGUCGGAGCUAAUACUUUGAGAAAAUUAGAGUGUUCCACGCAGGCGCGUGCCUUGAAUACUGCAGCAUGGGAUAUUGGAAGGCCGAUUGAGCUUUCUUGUUGGUUCUCGGUUUGAUCGGAAUGAUUAAUAGGGAUAGUUGGGGGCAUUCGUAUUCAACUGUCAGAGGUGAAAUUCUUGGAUUUGUUGAAGACGGACUACUGCGAAAGCAUCUGCCAUGGAUGUUCUCAUUA